CGCCCCGCCUCGUGCCCGCGGGUCGCCGCCGGGUGCGGCCCCUGGCGUAGCCGAGGAGGGGUUCCUCCUUGUUAGUGCAAAGACUGCUCCUCGGAGCGCCUGCCCUCUGUGCGAACAGAGCGGCUCUUCCUCCUAUUGCACAAUAAUUGCAUCCUGAAUUUGAUGUAAAUCAUCUUUUUGAACAGAAUCCAGUUACAGGUGCAGUAAGAUAACGAUGAAUGUGUACCCACAUGCUGGAAAAGAGAAGGUUUAUACUGAAUACGAAUUUGCUUUUGUAGUUCUUUGCAGUUAUCCUGGAGAAAAAGAAAAACAGCAAACUUCUAUAAAAAUCUAAAUAUUCCUUUGUA